CAUUCACUCUCUCUCUAACCUCCCAAACUCUCUCUCUCUCUAGAACUCGGAUCCAGGCAAACUUCCGGCAAGGAGCCGGUGAAGUCCCGGCGGCGACGGCCGGUGACCGCGGUGGUGCGGCGGCGGAGCCGCCGUAGGCGGCGGAGGUCCGGCGAGGUUCUGGCGUCAUUUUCCAGCCAAACACCCCUACCCCCACUAAACCGAACGUUCCCGACGCGAUGGCGGUGUCCGUUUUCAAAGAUUCGCAGUUGUAUGAGCUGUGGAGCAACUCCGGCGAAGCUCCGACCGUUUUUCCAGCGAAGCCAUUUUGGAUUUUUCUUUCCAUGCAUGUUUAGAUCGGGUUAUGAGGAACCAUUCUGCAAAUUUUCAAGACAUUUUAUAUUCCGGCAACUUGUUAAACGGGGCUGUUUGGGGGCGGAACAAAAGCCGACGACGGCGGUGGUGAAGCCGGCCGGCGGCUGAGGCGAUGGCGGUGAUGAUGGUUGGCAACUCGGGUUAUUAAAGUUCAUGUUUCGAUUCAGGGUUUAGUUUUGGUUUGAUUUUUGGUUCGAAUCUACUCAGGUCAGACUCGGUUGGGGAGCUCGAGUUCGGUUCGGGUCAUGCGGUUCGGUUAGGCGGCUCGGUUCGGUUGACUCAGUCAGCGAGUCGACUCAGACAAGACUCGCCUCAGGUCAACAAGUCCAACUCGGUUCGACUCGGUUCUAUACGACUCGACUCAGUACAACUCGGUCCUGUUGACUCGGUUGAACCGAGUCAACUCAGUCAAAGCAACGAGUCAACUCAGCGGGUCAACCCGGUUGACUCGGUCAAGUCAGCCGGUUAACUCAGUCCAUGUUUCGACAACUCGACACGGAGGAUUUGGUAAAUAAUUUUAGUGGCGCGAAUAUUUACGUUAUUUUAAUAAUUUAUAUGUUUAACGCGGACCGAGCUCGAACCAUUAGCAAUUACAUAACGUUUAUACAUUAGUGAGUCUUUACGCUUUGAUGUAUUUUGACGAGAAAUUAUAUAUAUAUUAGUUGACAAUUGUUGAA